rnacentral:lncRNA from 1 species
AAAAAGAUUAACGUUUUUCUAAGCUGUGCUUAGGGCAUUAAAGAUAUUUUUUUCCUCAGAUGCUGAUUACUUUGUUAACAGAUAAAGUGAAUAGAAAGUGGCUUUUGCUGUUUAGAAAGGAAGUUUGCAACGGACUGUUUCUCUAUGUUUGUUUCAAAACUUUAGCAUUGUUUUUUUUUUCCUUCUCUACUUUAAACUUCACUUUUUGAGAAGACGGUCUUCUAAAGGCAUAGUUUUCUGCUUGUGAAGAACUUGCUUCUGACAGGUUCCUGGAGAUUCCAGGCUUCUCUGGCAAACUUGAAGUUUUAAAAAUGAGUGGCUUUGAUUUCCUUCCAGGUAGAACUUUUAAGAUCUCAUGGCUGCUGGACGGCUGUGCAUUGCUGUUUUUCUGGAGUAUUGAUGGAAAGUUGCUGUGUGAGAUAAGUGAAGCUGCUAUGUGAAGAUGAAUCUUGA